AUACGUAGGUGACGAGCGUUAUCCGGAUUUACUGGGCGUAAAGCGCUUGUAGGUGGCUUUGUAAGUUGGAUGUGAAAACUCUGGGCUUAACCCAGAGAGGCCGUCCAAUACUGCAGGGCUGGAGGAUGUCAGAGGAAGGUGGAAUUCCUGGUGUAGUAGUGAAAUGCGUAGAUAUCAGGAGGAACACCCGUGGCGAAGGCGGCCUUCUGGGGCAUUCCUGACACUGAGAAGCGAAAGCUAGGGGAGCAAACAGGAUUAGAAACCCUGGUAGUCCUAGCUGUAAACGAUGGAUGCUAGGUGUUGGCGGAUUUAACCCUGCCAGUGCCGAAGCUAACGCGUUAAGCAUCCCGCCUGGGAAGUACGAUCGCAAGAUUAAA
rnacentral:rRNA from 1 species